rnacentral:tRNA from 2 species
AAGGAGUUAGUUAAAUAGAUAAUAACAUUAGAAUGUCAAUCUAAAAUUACUAUAUUUUUAUAGUACACCUUG